rnacentral:rRNA from 1 species
CUCGACAAUAGAUAUCUCGUCUCUCGCAUCGAUGAAGAACGUAGUGAAAUGCGUUACUUGGUGUGAAUUGCAUAAUCCCGUGAACCAUCAAGUUUUUGAACGCAAGUAGCACCCGAAGCCGUCUGGCUGAGAGCACCGUUUUCUUGGGCAUCACG